rnacentral:rRNA from 1 species
UACGGGGGGGGCAAGCGUUGUUCGGAAUUACUGGGCGUAAAGGGCUCGUAGGUGGCCAACUAAGUCAUACGUGAAAUCCCUCGGCUUAACCGGGGAACUGCGUCUGAUACUGGAUGGCUUGAGAUUGGGAGAGGGAUGCGGAAUUCCAGGUGUAGCGGUGAAAUGCGUAGAUAUCGUCAAGAACACCGAUAGUGAAGACAGCUUACCAAGCUUCAACUGACGCUGAGGCACGAAAGUGUGGGGAUCAAACAGG